GUAAAAAAACCAAUUCGUUUUUCCCCAACUAUCUCCCCUCACUUUUCCUACUAUGGCACUAUUCUCUGUUCUAAUUUCAAUCAAACUCUAUCAUCCCGUCAUUCGCUCUCAUAGUAUCUGCAUCACCUUUUUUUAUUUUAUUUUUCCCCACUCAAACCCUAGCUUUCUCUCAAUAAACAAUUUAUUAUCCUAGAGUCUCCUCGUCACCAAUCGGCUGCUCUUAAAGAGAUAGAGAGAGUAGAACACUAGGUCGCCAAUCGAUUACCCUCAAAUCUUAUAAAUUCCACAAUCUUUUUAUGGAAUCCCACUCAACUACUCCCUUCAUAUUCUCUUCUCAAUAUUUAUUUUCUUGUAUUAAUUUUUCGAUCUUGAUUGCCUUCAAUCUCUAUCUAAUAUAUGUUGAGAGAAUUGCAGAACUGAAAUUCUACAUGUCAUUGGGUCCAACCAUCAUUUCAUAACAGCCCAGCUAAAAUGAUGAUUCUUUGCAAAGUUGGCUAUGUUAGACUUGGUUUCCGAAACACAGGCAAGUAAAGUUUUUCAAAUUCUUUUUAUUUUAUUUUAUUUUUUGUCAUUAAUAUGUUCUUUAUGCAAUUUGUAUGUAUAAAUUUGAUAACUAACGUCUUUGCAAUCAGUGCAGGCUUCCCUCUGUUAGCUCUGCUUUGUCUACCUUGCUCAUGAUUACCUUUAAAUAGUAAUUGAGUUGUCUGAGAGAACUAAAGGUCAGAUGUUCAAUGUGGGUAGCUCUUACAAUGAGCUACUGGAGUGGAGUGGCUCUUGCUAGAAUAUUUCUGUAUUCAAGGCUGCUAGAGUGGCUUCGUGCGGAAUUACUAUAUUCAAAGGCGAAGUACAAAAAGCCACAAACAUAGUUUGAAGAAUUUUAAGAUUCUAGAAGACUAGUGAUAAGGGAACUUUGGGCGUUCCUCCAUAGAGGGAGAGUUGGGAGAGAGUUGGGAGUUUGCUUUUAUGUUUUAGUUUGGUCUUUUGUAUUAUACAAUUGGAAAUUUGGUUAUUCAAAUUUAUGUUAAUUUUGUAUUUGAACUCAGAA